ensembl:lncRNA
CACACGGCCCCGGGCCGCUGCCCCAUCGGCUGCGGGCGCUGCCGCUGCCGCUUCCCUGCCAGCCGGGGAUGUUGCCAGCAGUGGGCAGGGGCAUUGGGGGGAGGCAUACCCGGCUUCAUCCCGCCGGGUAGGAGCUGGAGGAGGGGUAACUGCCUCUCCCCGGGUGGCAGAUGACCCACAAUUGUGUACAGCCCCUCAGGUGUGAGCUGAACCACAAUUGGGGGCACCUCCUGAGGUGGGAUCAGACCCACUGUUGGGGACACCUCCUGAGGUGGGAGAGGGCCCACAGUUGGGGGUACCCCCUGAAUUGGGAGGUGACCCACCGUUGGGGGCACCCCCUGAGGUAGGUUCAGACCCACCGCUGGGAUCACCUCCUGAGGUGGGAGCGGGCCCACAGUUGCGGGUACCCCCUGAAUUGGGAGCUGACCCACAGUUGGGGGUACCCCCUGAGGUGGGAACGGGCCUACAGUUUGGGGCAUUGCCCCAGCUGGCAGCUGAAGCACAGUUGGGUGCAUUGCCCCAGGUGGUGGGAGCUGAGCCACCAUGGAGGGCAGCCCCUGUGGUGGGAUCAGACCCACCAUUGGGGCUACCCCCUGAGGUGGGAGCAGGCCUACAGUUUGGGGUACCCCCUGAGGUAGCAGCUGACCCACAGUUUGGGGCAUUGCCCCAGGUGGUGGGAGCUGAGCCACCAUGGAGUGCAGCCCCUGUGGUGGGAUCAGAUCCACCACUGGGACUACCCCCAGAGGUGGGAGCUGACCCCCAGUAUAGGGCAUUGCCCCAAGGGGCAGCUCAGUCAUAGUUUGGGGCAUUGCCCCAGCUGGCAGCUGAGCCACAACUGGGGGUGUUGCCCCAGCUGGCAGUUGAAGCACAGUUUGAGGCAUCGCCCCAGGUGGCAGCUGCGCUCCCUGUCCCUGCACACCCGGUACCCCCGGCUGGACAGAGGCCUGAGGCACCAUGGAGGUGACAUUGGGGGCAGGGAUGGGCUGGAAGGAUACGGGCACUGCUCCGCCAAUGGUGGUCUGCAUCGCAGCAGUGGCCGGUGGGGGCACAAAGGCUCCAAAUAAAGUUGCGUCGGGUGUCGGAAGCACCGUCAGCGAUGAAGGAAUUCUCUCUGUGGGGAAAUGCCCAAAUGGGCGCCGGGGUGAGAUGUGGGGCACUGGGACCCCCUGGAGGGCCGCAGUGCCAGGAGCAGGAGGAGCCUGCUGCCUUACCUGCCGUGGCAGCUCGAGAGUGGCGCUGGGGGGUUCCGUGAGCGCUGGGGUCAGCCCCUCUGCCCUGAGCUCACAGUGCCCCUCUGUGACGCUGUCCCGUGGUGUCACAGGCACUGCUCUGUGCCUGCCAUGUCAUCAACUUGCUGUGGCUGUAAUCAUGCUGGUGACAGCAUGGGACGAGUGUGGGGAGCUAUGGCCUCUGCCCUUCUCAUACUCCUCCUCCUGAUGGCCACAACUUUCUGGAAGUUCGCUGCUGCUCCGUGGCGAGCACCAGGAGCAGGUGGGUGAGCAAAACGGAGCGGCACGGGGGGCACGAAGUCACUGCAAGGACAGAGCCUUUGGGGCUCCCCCUCCCGUUCUCUUUUCUUCCCCUCUCCAUCCCAUUUCCAUUCUCUUCCCCUCCCCGUCUCCAGACACUUCCACACACGGACUGUUGUGUAUCAGCACGGUGCCACUGCAGGCGCCGCAGUCCACUCCUGCACAACCGCUGGUUCCAUCAGCUGUGGCUGUCCAG